rnacentral:rRNA from 1 species
AUUGAACGCUGGCGGCAGGCCUAACACAUGCAAGUCGAGCGAGCGGCGGACGGGUGAGUAAUGUCUGGGAAACUGCCUGAUGGAGGGGGAUAACUACUGGAAACGGUAGCUAAUACCGCAUACUUUCAGUUGUGCCCUGAUGGGGUCAGCUAGACGGUGGGGUAACGGCUCACCUAGGCGACGAUCCCUAGAUGGUCCGAGAGGAUGACCAGCCACACUGGAACUGAGACACGGUCCAGACUCCUACGGGAGGCAGCAGUGGGGAAUAUUGCACAAUGGGCGCAAGCCUGAUGCAGCCGUGCCGCGUGUGUGAAGAAGGCCUUCGGGUUGUAAGGCACUUUCAGCGGGGAGGCGUUACCCGCAGAAGAAGCGCCGGCUAACUCCGUGCCAGCAGCCGCGGUAAUAC